UACGUAGGGUGCGAGCGUUGUCCGGAAUUAUUGGGCGUAAAGGGCUCGUAGGCGGUUUGUCGCGUCGGGAGUGAAAACACCGGGCUUAACUCGGUGCUUGCUUUCGAUACGGGCAGACUAGAGGCAUGCAGGGGAGAACGGAAUUCCUGGUGUAGCGGUGAAAUGCGCAGAUAUCAGGAGGAAUACCAGUGGCGAAGGCGGCUUCUUGGCCUGUUCUUGACGCUGAGGCGCGAAAGCUGGGGGAGCAAACGGG
rnacentral:rRNA from 1 species